AAGUAAUUGCAGGAGCAAGAUAGUUGCACUAUUUGGUUACUGAAUGUUAAUGGAGGGUAGCUGGGCAGUUAAUUGGUUGAUUGAGGGUGACCUUCAAUGCUGCAUACUAUGGUGUAGCUUUUUCAUUCUACCUUUUGCUUCUU